UACGGAGGGAGCGAGCGUUGUUCGGAAUUACUGGGCGUAAAGCGUAUGUAGGCGGUUUUGUAAGUCAGAUGUGAAAUCCCAGAGCUUAACUUUGGAACUGCAUUUGAGACUGCAAGACUUGAAUAUCGGAGAGGUUGGCGGAAUUCCCAGUGUAGCAGUGAAAUGCGCAGAUAUUGGGAGGAACACCGAUGGCGUAGGCAGCCAACUGGACGAUUAUUGACGCUGAGAUACGAAAGCGUGGGGAG
rnacentral:rRNA from 1 species